CACAAUACCGUACUGACGUCUGCAACUGGUAGCUACUUUACACUAAGCUAGGCCUGUUUUACUGAGCUAAUGUUAACUUAACGUUAGUUUAGUUAACUGUUUGCUAGCCGGCUGGUAACGUUAUUCUAUAAUGUUAAUCUUCUCCUUAUUCUUAUAGUACAGUGAUUUAGAUCAGACUGUAACGUUAGCUCAUUCACUGUUAGCUUACUUAACGUUAGCCUCCUGUCUCGUAGCUGAAUUCUACUGUAACGUUAACGUCACUCCAAACCACAGUAACGUGAUGAAAUCUGGCAGUAACGUGAUGAAAUCUGGCAGUAACGUUAUGUUGUAGCAUUUGCUCAUUGGCAAAGAGUCUAGAAUCCGUUUGAAGUUGAAAAUAAAAACAGUUGAUAAGGCCCUGCUUUAUGUGUUGGAUCUAAAGUUACGCCAAAUUAAACAGAUGAUCCUCUUGACUCAGGAAAUGUUUUUUUGUAAGAUUUCACGGGAAAUAAUAUAGGCUAUAGAAAACUAAGACAACCGUAUUUUCACGACCUUUCACAUUGACUUUUGACAUAUUCUUGUAAUGUGGAGCCUUGGUAACUCACCUUUCCGGGGUUUCACCGGCGCCUGGUCCGCAGGUCGGCGAGCCCCAGGGCCUUCUGCUCGCCCCUGGCCCGUCCCCUUCCCCGGCAGCUCCGGCCUGUUUCUCCAUCCGCCAGAGAAGUGUUUACGGUCUGGCUCGCUGGGGGCUGGGGUGGAGGGUUUCCUCUGAUAUAGGGAGUCGGAAGAUGAAAUGGACCCGUCAGCGUGUUCUGGUUGGGCGAGUUUUCAGGCUGUCCUGUGGUUUCCUCUCAUCAGGUUGUGCUUCCUCGUCAGCCUCGCUCGGUCGCCCCGCCUCUUCACAACCACAACAGAGAUGCGAGAAUGACAAGAAGGAGCUGCACCAGUAUCCGAUGCUCAGGCCUGGAAGUGAUGUGACAUGUUCACCAUGAAACUGCUGUCUGUACUGUGACAGGCUCAGGCUACAUUUACAUCAGCUGUGAUUCGUUUUGAGCGAUUUGUCCUUUUGGCUCACUUGCUCAAUAGGCAGCUGAUUCCAGGUGUUGGCGCCCUUGAUUGAAAAGGAAGUCUGGCCAAAGGAUGUUUUACUGUAUGAUAUUUUAAAGUUCCCUGCAGUUGAAUUUCUUUCUCAGUCUUGUAAUGUCUGGUCAUGUCACAGAGCCUGAGAACUAUGUCCAUGUAAACACUACCUGAUAAGGUCUGCGUUUGCAAAUGCAAUAUAGUAUAGUCAAAACGGAGCAUGUUCAGGUCUCUCAGGAGGACGUGACAAUGAUGUUAUCCAAUAGGCCUUUUGUUCAAUAUUUUUAGGGCACGAUUGUAUAAUCCCUCCAAUGGUUUCCUCCAAAUAUUGUUGUUUGUUAUACGAGGAGUAGGCUGAACAUACAACUUCCUCUUAGCACAGCAGUUUCAGUACAUCAGGCUUCUUUUUAUGCCUGAUACCACAAACUUUCUGGCAUUCAGUUAUAACCUUUAUUAUGAAAAUAUUUAGAAUCAAACAGACAUCUGCUAAAAAAUGUUUUAAAAGAGUAACACCACCUGAAGUAACUCUAGACAGAGGCCAUUACCUACAGGAUGCAGGACACUCAGAACUUUAACUAGGUUAAAACACACUCACCUUUUCUCCAAAACUUCUCCAAAAAAAGACAGCAAUAAACAGAAUUUUUGAGAUGGAGGGAAUAACCAAUUAGUACAAUAAUCUGAUUAUUGGAGGCACUCUGUACAUUGUUGGAUUCUAAGGCACAAACUUAAAUAACAGAUGAACAUGUCAGUUGACUUAGCAAAUACAGGAAUGAUGUAUUUGGGUUAUAGCCUUAUUAUUAUGUUAUAUAGAAAAUGCUCUGGAUAUUUAAAUGAUAGGCUAAAUGAUAACAUAGAUGAUAGUCACAUCAACAACUUGGUCAUACCAUUGACAGUAUUCACUUUAAUACAGCUGACGUGCUACUUUAUUCGCCUUACUUUUAGAUUUAAUAUCUAAUUCAUUCUUAUUUUGGUUUUCUUUUUGGUAUGUCCUUUGUAUUGUUUGUUUUUCUAAAUAUAUUUCUGUAUGUUAUCAAUUUUCUUUUGAUUUCAUUUGAAAGAGGCCUGGCCUCUGAGCAGCCCAGUCCAGUUCUUCCCCAUAGACUGUAGAAAAGAAGGUUCCUCCACACAAGAAGUUUGUGGUGCUGGUGAACUGUGCUGCCUUACACAGAGAGGCCUUUCUAUUAUUUAGCCUACCCUUGUUUAUAGGAAUGGGGUGGACUACUAAAUCAACACCUCUCUAAAACAGUUUCAGCAAAAACUCAACAUUAUAAUCUUCAUGAAUUGCUUUAGUUUUAGCAAGGUGUACCUAAUAAACUGGCAACUGAGUGUAAGAAUAAAUGGUAUGAGCAGAUAGUGUUUGAAUGGCCAUUGAGAUGUUAGGGAACAUUUACUAUUAUUUUGGAUCUUAUAAAUAAGUUCUAUUUUACAUGACUUUGUUUUAUUAAAACACUUCAUUUUAUAAUUUUUGUUUUGCAUUGCUAUUACAUAUAGGGUACUUACUGUGAAUGGUGAAUCUAGCAGAAAAGUAAACACUGACUGGGAGGAACCUGUCAAUAAACUGUUAAAAUGGUGUUUGUAUGAAAUAAACCUGUUCAGUGGCUGA